GAGUUGAGUUGAGUUGAGUUUUCAUUUUCGUUUUGACCAAUUCUGAUUUCUUUUAAACCAUUUCAAAUAUAUAUAAAUAUAUAUGCUCUCACUUUAUCCUUAAAAUAUUAUAUGUGGAAAUUGGGCAAAAGAGAUACCAAAUAACUUCAUUUCAUUUGAUAGUUCAUUGGCAAGGUUUUACAGCACAUGCUUUUGUGUUGCUUCAUGACGUGUUAUUACUUCAUCAUCAUUGAGGCAUAUAUAAAGUGCUAAUUGAGAACCAUUAUACAUAUGCUGUUGCCCAGCUGCAGUGCUGUACGCCCUAGCUUCUCUUGUGUAAGAUGGGACAUCCUUGUAUGAACUGCAUAUUUAUAUGUGUUUGGAAUUAGAAGAUGAAUGGAUCUGAAUUAUACCCAACAUGGGAUUACCAGAAUCAACUAGCUGCAUUAU
rnacentral:misc_RNA from 1 species